GACGAACGCUGGCGGCGUGCUUAACACAUGCAAGUCGAACGGAAAGGCCCUGCUUUUGUGGGGUGCUCGAGUGGCGAACGGGUGAGUAACACGUGAGUAACCUGCCCUUGACUUUGGGAUAACUUCAGGAAACUGGGGCUACUACCGGAUAGGAUCUCCUGCUGCAUGGUGGGGGUUGGAACGUUUCGGCGGUUGGGGAUGGACUCGCGGGUUAUCAGCUUGUUGGUGGGGUAGUGGCUUACCAAGGCUUUGACGGGUAGCCGGCCUGAGAGGGUGACCGGCGACAUGGGGACUGAGGUAGGGAGCAGACGCGAACGGGAGGCAGCAGGGGGGAGUAUGGCACAAUGAGCCGAAGCCUGAGGCGGCGGCGCCGCGGUCGGGAAGACGGCUUUUGGGUUGUGAACCGCUGUCGCCUGUGACGAAGCGGUAGUGACGGUAAUGGGUAAAGAAGCACCGGCUAACUACGUG
rnacentral:rRNA from 1 species